rnacentral:rRNA from 1 species
AACGUAGGACGCAAGCGUUAUCCGGAGUUACUGGGCGUAAAGCGCGGGCAGGCGGUCUUGCCAGUCUGAUGUGAAAUCUCUCAGCUCAACUGGGAGCAGCCAUUGGAAACUACAAGACUGGAGUCUGACAGAGGUAGGCGGAAUUCCGGGUGGAGUGGUGAAAUGCGUAGAGAUCCGGAGGAACACCAGAGGCGAAGGCGGCCUACUGGGUCAGUACUGACGCUGAGCCGCGAAAGCGUGGGGAGCAAACAGG